UGCCUGGGGCAGGAGGGAGAAGAGGAACUAGGACUCUGUGCUUCAGGCCCCUGGGUCUGGCUCCAAGCUGCCUCCUCCUCCUCGGAGAAGCCCUCCAGGAAGUCCGUCUCCCUGCGCUCCUGCCCCUCUCCGCCUCCACGUGGCCUGGGUGGCUGGACCAACGUCGACGGGUAUCCCCGUGCCCAUCCCUCCACCUGGCGCUGUGGACUCGGAGACUUCCUCCCGACCUGAAACCCCCCUGGGACCCUUGUUGCUCCAGGAUGAGCUCCAUGUAUUUAGCUUGCGCCUUACUUUUUUAAAAAAUUUGUUUUUAUUCAAAAACAGAGGGAGAUCUUCAUCUGCUUGGUCAUCCCUACACGCCUGCCAACAUUCAGAGUUGGGCCCGGAUGAAGCCAGGAGCCCAGAAUUCAAUCCGGGCCUCCCACGUGGGUAGCAGGACCCAGGCUGUAAAGUGCUUCCUUGAAGUGAAAAGGUUAAAGUACUCAGUACGGAAAGAAGCAAAUCAUAAGCUGAGGUUGCUAAGAUCUAGAGUAAGAAUGACUCUUCCAUGCACGAACUGUGAAUAGGAAAAAGAAACCUGCUGGUUCCGCCGUCACACCUCCAGCUGCAAAGCGUACAGUGAGUGAGAAGUGCUUAGUGAAGAUGGAAAAGGCACCACGUUUGUGAGCAGGAAACAUGUUCCAACUGAUGGCAACGUGCCGUAGCAGAAAGCACUGCGCCUAAUUUAUAAAGCAAACCUGGUCAUCGGGAGGUAGGCAAGAACGGGAGAGAGGGCUCGGUGCCCUGGGACACGGCCCCCGAGCACGAGGUGGCACUACCGUACUCUCAACAUUGUCCCAGCGUUCAGAGAUGACAGGGACAGAGCUGUCCCCAGGGCCUGCCCCCUGCCAAGAGACCACUUGCAAACAGACCAAGACUGACAGACGCAUGUCAAGGUGAGAUUUGGGAGGCGAGAAAUUUGAGUAGGCGCGGUGGUGUGGCACAUUGAGCCGAAUAGAGUCCCGGGAACAUUCAGGCCUCUCACCCCGCUCGACACCCGCCUCCUCCGAGCUCCAGAGCUGGUAUUUCUGUCCUUGUUCCUAAAAUGUGACGUCUGCACCAGUCCUGUGAGCCAGGCCCUGUGCUAAGCGUUCAGUCGGCACCAUUUCCUGCCGGCCUCUGACUGCUAAGGCCACCACAGACCCGGGCUGCACAGCUUCAGUCUGAGUCCAGAGUGCAAACCUGAACUGCUGCCCCAGCGCUGGGCACACUGCAGAUCCCUGGUGGGCGUGUGGGCCACACUGCUCAGUAUGGAGCAUUGACCGUGGCGCCUCGUGACGCUUCCGGGAUUCGGCCACACCAUUCCACGCAGCCGUGGUUCAUUCCUUUUCACUGCUGUGUGGUAUUCCCCAGAUGGACACACUGUCAUUAUUUAUCCACCCUGCUGAAAAGGCGUGGUAAGAUCUGGCUGGUUUCCAGUUCAGGGCUCUACAAACAAUGCUGCUCUGAGCAUGCCAGAA